GCAACAUUUCAGCCUGCACAGAGGCCUUUAUCUUGCUUGAUAAAAUAAUAAUAAUAAUAAUAAUAAUAAUAAAAGCCUCUGUGCAGGACGACAUGUUG